rnacentral:rRNA from 1 species
UACAGAGGUCUCAAGCGUUGUUCGGAUUCAUUGGGCGUAAAGGGUGCGUAGGCGGCUCGGUAAGUCGGGUGUGAAAUCUCGGAGCUUAACUCGGAGACGCCAGUCGAUACUGCUGUGGCUUGAGUCCGACAGGGGAGCAUGGAAUUCCUGGUGUAGCGGUGAAAUGCGCAGAUAUCAGGAGGAACACCAAUGGCGAAGGCAGCUCGCUGGGACGGUACUGACGCUGAGACGCGAAAGCGUGGGGAGCAAACAGG